rnacentral:rRNA from 1 species
GAGUUUGAUCAUGGCUCAGAACGAACGCUGGCGGCAGGCUUAACACAUGCAAGUCGAACGCUCGUAGCAAUACGGGAGUGGCGCACGGGUGAGUAACGCGUGGGAACGUGCCCUUCAGUAUGGGAUAACACCGGGAAACUGGUGCUAGUACCAUAUAUUCCCUCCGGGGGAAAGAUUUAUCGCUGAAGGAUCGGCCCGCGUAAGAUUAGCUAGUUGGUGGGGUAAUGGCCUACCAAGGCUCCGAUCUUUAGCUGGUCUGAGAGGAUGAUCAGCCACACUGAAACUGAGACACGGUUCAGACUCCUACGGGAGGCAGCAGUGGGGAAUAUUGGACAAUGGGGGAAACCCUGAUCCAGCCAUGCCGCGUGAGUGAUGAAGGCCUUAGGGUUGUAAAGCUCUUUUGUCAGGGAAGAUGAUGACGGUACCUGAAGAAUAAGCACCGGCUAACUUCGUGCCAG